GUGCACAUUUCAUUUUUUUCUUUUUUAUUAAAAGAAAAAAAUAUUUCUCAUAUGCUAAACAAACUUGAAGGUAAAUUAAUAGCAUGCUUAUCUUAGCCACAGCUGUCAGUCGCCACCCUUCAGACAAGU
rnacentral:snoRNA from 1 species